UACGGAAGGGGGCUAGCGUUGCUCGGAAUUACUGGGCGUAAAGCGCACGUAGGCGGAUUGUUAAGUCGGGGGUGAAAUCCUGGAGCUCAACUCCAGAACUGCCUUUGAUACUGAAGAUCUUGAGUUCGGGAGAGGUGAGUGGAACUGCGAGUGUAGAGGUGAAAUUCGUAGAUAUUCGCAAGAACACCAGUGGCGAAGGCGGCUCACUGGCCCGAUACUGACGCUGAGGCACGAAAGCGUGGGGAGCAAACAGGA
rnacentral:rRNA from 1 species